GAUGAACGCUAGCGAUAGGCCUAACACAUGCAAGUCGAGGGGCAUCACAUGAAGUAGCAAUACGGAUGGUGGCGACCGGCGCACGGGUGAGUAACACGUAUGCAACCUGCCUUCAACAAGGGGAUAACCCGUUGAAAGACGGACUAAUACCCUAUAACACAGGGGUCCCGCAUGGGAAUAUUUGUUAAAGGACAACCGGUUGAAGAUGGGCAUGCGUUCCAUUAGCUAGUUGGCGGGUAAGGCCCACCAAGGCAACGAUGGAUAGGGGAACUGAGAGGUUUAUCCCCCACACUGGUACUGAGACACGGACCAGACUCCUACGGGAGGCAGCAGUGAGGAAUAUUGGUCAAUGGACGCAAGUCUGAACCAGCCACGUCGCGUGAAGGAAGACGGCCCUACGGGUUGUAAACUUCUUUUGCAAGGGAAUAAAGUGGGCCACGUGUGGCCUUUUGCAAGUACCUUGCGAAUAAGGAUCGGCUAACUCCGUGCCAGCAGCCGCGGUAAAUACGC
rnacentral:rRNA from 1 species